rnacentral:rRNA from 1 species
UAGGGAAUCUUCCGCAAUGGACGCAAGUCUGACGGAGCAACGCCGCGUGAGUGAAGAAGGAUUUCGGUUCGUAAAACUCUGUUGUUAGAGAAGAACAGCGCAUAGAGUAACUGUUAUGCGUGUGACGGUAUCUAACCAGAAAGCCACGGCUAACUACGUGCCAGCAGCCUCGGUAAUACGUAGGUGGCAAGCGUUGUCCGGAUUUAUUGGGCGUAAAGCGAGCGCAGGCGGUCAAUUAAGUCUGAUGUGAAAGCCCCCGGCUCAACCGGGGAGGAUCAUUGGAAACUGGUUGACUUGAGUGCAGAAGAGGGGAGUGGAAUUGCAUGUGUAGGGGUGAAAUACAUAGAUAUAUAGGGGAACGCCAGUGGCGAGGGCGACUCUAUGGUCUGUAACUGACGCUGAGGUUCGAAAGCGUGGGUAGCAAACAGG